rnacentral:lncRNA from 1 species
UUUUUUUUGCUGAUAAACUAAAUAAACGAGUGUCUAAUCGUGCUGCAGACACGUGUCGUCAAUAAUUUGGCACUUCAGUGCAUCUUAGUUAAAAUUUAAAUAUUCUGCCUAAAACUGGCAGUGUUGUGCCGUUGUCAGGUAAAAACUCUGCACUGUAUUUUAAUUUAAAUCUGCCACCGCUAUUGGCUAAGAAGUAUGCUAUGAUGUAAACUGGUACAUUAUGAUGUCACAAUGCUGUCGUGAGCCUGAGUGUGUGUGUAUUUGUUAGCGGCUCCGCCCUCUCGGUCUGCCAGGCAACAGCAUGUGUUGCAUUUUUCAAACAUGAAGUGGGAGUGGAGUUAGACUCUGGUAGGGGUUGACUUGCUCUUUAAGCUGUUUAACUUGGACCAAGCAUUUUAGGUCACAGAUAGGUGUAGCUUAGGGUCUCUGUCUAUACACCUUAUAAGACAAUUUAGGUGAUGGCAUGUUGUUUUUCUGCUAUUGAACUGUUUUCUAAUAAUGUUGUGUUUAAUAAAGUGAAGGAAGGAGAGAAAUAACGUUUCCCUAGCAGUUUUUAAAAAUGCCCCCAUGUAAUCCGAUUAAUCGAUUAAUCGUGUCAAGACCCCAUCCGAUUCAUCGAUUAUCCAAAUAAUCGUUUGUUGCAGCCCUAGUGGAGUCUCUUGUCUAAGUGUUUUUUCUCCUUAUGAGUCACCUUGUUCUGUGACUCCCAUGGAAAACCAUCCUAACAGUGUAGAGGCGAGCCAAGGCAAGCAGGCGUUGGUGGAAAAGGGGCAAUGGUCUGAGGCAGUUUGAUCUGACCAGCCUUUCCCAAAACCCAAGGAUGUCCCAACAUGAACACCGUACAGAAGAGAGCCUCUGAGACAUCCAGCCAAUCAGAUCUGCUUCCAUUCCACAGGUCAAAUUCUUCCAUGAUUCACCAGGUCAGAAAGGGACCCGGCAGGCCUCGGAUCAAAGAUAAAUACGAUGGACUAGAACUCAGAGUCCGGUUACUGGAGGACCCUAAGAUGGAAGGGCUUUCUAAUAAAGUGUUUAAGAAAACUCCAGUCCAGGACCUGAAGUGUCCUCGUGGUCUACAGGAGUCAGACUUCAUGGACCUCCUGAGGUCCUCCUUCCCUCAGCUGGCUAACGGAGAACCUUUUGACCUCUUCAAAACCGAUCGCAGAAGGAAGCUGCUGCCUCUGAGAGUGAAAGCUCUGACUCCAGAGGAGAUCCACGAGACCGUUAACUGGCCUAGUAGAUGUGGACAAUUACUGACCCUCUACCUACGACUGAAGAACGGUGAGCAAAACAAUCUCAACAAGGAAGGAGAACUUUGUGAUUUUCCAGCAAUGGUUGAGCCUCCAUCUGCUGAACCAGUGCACCUACAGAACAACGAGGCUGAGAUCCAUCAAAGGUUAGUUAAUUAUACACAUCUGUACAAAAUGUUUGUAAACAUCUUUUUAUCACAGCAUUUUAGAAUGGAGCAAAGGGGAUUAAAUAGGAUGAAAGUAUUAGCCUGGCCGGCCGUGCCAGUGCUUCCUUAGCAGGACCGUGCGGGGACCUUAGACGGGGCGGGUGCUCAAAGUAAAAAAAAAAAAAGGGGCACUUAUAGAGCAAUCCAACAAGUUAGAAAAUUCUAAUGACAACAUAAUAAAAAUAUAUAAAUUAGUGUCAUUAGUGUUAAUGUUAGUUCAUAAAUAACAGUUUUAGUUUUUAAAGCUGACUUAUAUCUAGAGAUGUUACAACCACAUUUCUGCCCCUGAUCUGAGUCCAAGUUGUUUGAUUUUUGAUUAUCUUCCAAUAGGGCUGGGCGAUAUGAUGAUUUUAGACCGUUUUACGAUCUACACAUGUGACGGUCUGUCAUUUUUGAGACGGUUCACAGCUCUGCUGUUGAAUUUCUGCCUCUGAAUGAAAAUGGAACUUACCUCAGGCGAAUGACACGCCUUUGUUUGACCCUCAACCAAUCAGAGUGAGUCAUAGUAAUAUAUUAGUGCCCCGCUUGUUUUCACCUGUGUGUGAACAAACACGGCUUCGGCCGCAGCUGAGAGCGACAACGAGGUUUUCGUUCCGAAGAGGAACGCCUUUUCCAUAGUACCGACCGAGCACCGAUUCACGUCAUUUCAAACGGUGCCUCGUUUCGGUACCCGUCCUUCAUAACGAGAACUUGCCUAGACAGCUGCGCAUGCGCAAGAGCGUUAUGUCGUCGGUCGCUGAGAGCGAGUUGUAAACAGAGCAGCAUGGUAGAAAGAACACGCUAAAGCUUGGGUCCACUUCACUAAAUGUGAUGGGUAACUGGGUGAUGAUGAAACCAGCAACAACGAUCUAAGUGAGACAUACUCAUCUUAAUCUGCUCCGGUAGGUAAAUAAAAUGUUUAAGAUAACGUUAGCUUGAUAUGUUAGCUUCCGUUUCGCUAAUGGUGCGUUCGCUUUCUCCUCGGAACUUCUAGAACUUUCCGACUAGAAGAACAUGAACGCGCUCUAAAGUUUGGCUUCACUUUACUGAAUGCGACGGGUGAUUGGGUGAAGAUGAAACCAGCGACAACGAUCUAAGUGUGAGGCAUCAUCGUUUUAAUCUGCUCCAGCAGCUAAAUAAACUGUUUAAGAUAACGUUAGCUUGAUAUGUUAGCUUCCAUUGCCACCAUUGUUAUCAGCUAAUGGUGCGUUCGCUUUCUCCUCGGAAAUUCUAACUUCCCAGUAGGAAAAAUCAAAUGAAAAAAAGACGGCAAAAGGAAUGAAGAUACACAGUAAAUUUAGUUCACAGUAAAGAUGUUUGCUUCAGUUUAAUUAUCAGCUUAUAAAACUACAAGGACGAUGUUAAAAUGCAAACAGUUGUAUGUUAUUUAUCGUGAUAUUUAUCAAAUAUGGUUAUAUAUUGAGAAAAAUAUAUAUUUAAUUAUAAAAGAGAAUUAAAAUAAUAAACACUCAAAAAUAUCGAAAAUUGGUACCGUUAAGUACCGGUAUCGAUUCGAAGGGACCGGGAAUUAGUACCGGAUCGAUUCAAAUGUCAAAGGUACCCAUCCCUAUUAUAUGGAACUGGUUUGGUUUUUCACCAGAUGACAAAGAGCAGCGAAACGUCAUUUGCAAACUUUGCAAGCAGAGCGUCAAGGCAAGUGAUGGCAACACCACAAACUUGUUUAAUCACUUGAAAAGAAAGCAUCCCAAACAAUACAAUGAGAGCCAGCUGGCAGCUAAAGCUAAAAAGCCUGCGGCUGCAGCGGCUAGUGCUUCUUCCAGGCAGCAAACGCCAACAGAAACACUCACAAAACUCACUCCCUACGACAGAGACAGCAGACGAUGGAACAGCGUGACAGAUGCAGUGACGUACCACUUGGUUAAAGAUUUGUGUCCCGUGCGAACAGUAGGAGCGGGAUUUAAGAACAUGAUAAAAACAUUGGAUUCGCGCUACGAGUUUUCCAGCUGCAAGUAUUUUUCGAACACCGCCAUUCCACGCAUGUACGCUGAAUGCAAAGUGAGAGUUGCAGAAAAUAUUCCGAAUGCGCAGUUUUUUGCUACCACAAGCGAUCUCUGGUCCAGCCGCACAUCAGAGCCGUAUUUGAGCUUAACUAUCCACUACAUGAGCAACUGGGAGCUACAUAGUAUUUUGAACAAGUUAAAGUUUGCACAAUACGUUUGCAAUUGACAUGUUUGCACUUUAAAUAUGUUUACGAUUUUAAUUUAUGUUAAGUUACUUGAAAAACGAGAAAAACAGAUUUUUGUAAUUGUUUCUCAGGGCUUUUAUCAUCUCUGGUGUGAGUUUAAAAUAUAAGUGUGUUAGCACUGUGCUGAUUAUCCCUAAUAUGAAUAAAUGUUUAUUUAUUCAAUGUUUCUCUUCUUUAAUACGCAAUUGAAGUUAUGCUAUUCAUGGAUAAAAAAUCGUGAUAAAAUCGAAAUCGUGAUAAAAUAUUUGAAAAAUUGUGAUAUUCUAUUUUUGCCAUAUCGCCCAGCCCUACCUUCCAAUACUGAGUCCUGUUCUGAUACCAGGUGGUGAUGCAACGCAUUAUAAAAGAAGAAAUAAGUCGUCCUUCUGUCUGUAUUUGUUAUUUUAGCCUGAAAAGGUGCCUUCGCACUUAAGACAAAAGGGGCAGGUGCUCAAGAACCCCCCCCCCCCUCGCCCGCACGUGCCUGUUCCUUAUGGGUAGCGCUCCCAUUCCAAUAACCCCACCCCCUGAGAAUUCUGGCCGAGCCAAUCAGAGGGAGAAGCACUGGAGGAGUCAACAGUAAGAGAAAAACUGUCAGAUAGGGACGUUCUGGUCCCAUUUUUUAGCUCCAGAUCCGAGUCCGAGUCAUUUGAUUAGGAGUAUCUGCUGAUACCAAGUCCUGAUCCGAUACUUGAUAAAUGACCUGCACUUGUACAGCGCCUCUCAGAGUAAAGACUCCAAAGCACUUGACACUACAGUGUAUCAUUCAUCCAUUCACACACACAGUCACACACUGAUGGUGAUGAGCUACGAUGUAGCCACAGCUGCCCUGGGGCGCACUGACAGAGGCGAGGCUGCCAAGCACAGGUGCCACCAGUCCCUCCGACCACCACCAGCAGGCAAGGUGGGGUUAAGUGUCUUGCCCAAGGACACAACAGCAGAAUUCUCUGUCCGGGCCUGGGAUCGAACCUGCAACCUUCCGAUUACUGGACAACCCGCUCAACCUGUUGAGCUACUGCUGCCCCUUCAGCAAAGCAUUGAAAUACGAUGCAGAAAGGAAAACGCUUCAACAUUUUUAUUAUUUUUUUUUUAAUUUUUCAAUUAUUUUGGUAUUUCUUUCUCUCUGUAUUUAUGUCAUUUUCUUAGUUUAUCUGCAGAAAAGUUUAGCUUAUCUGUCAUGUUUGGGUUGAUUUUCUGGACCCAGGACAUACACAACCGACCACAGAAGCCAAGGCAAGUAAAAAGCAAUAUUUUAUUCAAACGUUUAACUCAGGGGUAGGGAACCCUGGUCCUGGCGAGCCGUUAUCCAGGUUACACCUACCCCUGGUUUAACUAAAGGAGGUGAGGAGUCAAGGGACGUCUGGCUUGUGACAGUGUCUGUAAGCAGAGACCAGUUAGUGACUGGGAGAGCUGAUGAAUGGUAAGGAGAGAGCAUGGUAGAGCAGAGAGCUUACAGUUCAGGAGUAGGUAACACGCUCAUGGGAGGAGAGGUCAGGUCUGAGGUGGUGGCCAGGCUCGAGGUAGUUCCAGAGGGGCAAUGAUCGCAGGAGGGGAGAUCUGGGUUCAGGUGAACAGUGGAGAACAGGUCCGUCAGGAGGGACUGGGUGAGAUGUGGACUUGAGAUGCGCCCCAGAAAGUUUUUGCUGGAGAGUUGGUGGUGUCAUGAGUACCUGGAAGCCGGAGCAUGGUUAUAACUAGAGAAUAACAAGAAGUUAGGCUUGAGAGGUUUUCAGGCGAGAGAUCCCCAAGGUGAGUAAUCAUCUGGCAAGGUGCUGUUGUCUCCCUGCUUCUUAUGUAGCCAGACCGGUUGGUGAAAGAUCAACAGCAGCUUAGCCUGCUCCUCGGCGCCACCCACCUGUGAUUAAGCACUCUGAGGUUAUUAGAUUAGGAGGCCGCUCACCUCAGACCAUGACAUCACUUAGUUAUUAAUGUAACGUAGUAAUUAUUGUAUGUAUUUGGGUGCUUUUAAAGCUUAAUAUACUACCCUACACUUUAACCAAUGUGAUGUGAAUUUCCAUUUAAACAUGGGAAUCCAGUCUGAUAGGUCUUUGAAUGUUUUAACCAGAAGAUUUAAAAUUCAUUGUUUAUUCAGGGAUUGUAGGAUACUUCAUAUUAAUUCAAGAAGAGAGUCAAGUUUAGAAAAAGUAAGAAUUUAUUUUCCAAACAAUUAAAAACACGACAAGUUAACUAAAAGCCCCUUCAGACAGGCCAUGAAAAACGGAAAUGUUCCGGACUCUGUCCGUAAGACCUUUGUGUCUGAAUACAAACAUCCGGAUAACGUGUUCCGGAAUUUAUCCGGACG